UACGUAGGGUGCAAGCGUUGUCCGGAAUUAUUGGGCGUAAAGAGCGUGUAGGCGGCUUGAUAAGUCUGCUGUGAAAGUCCAGGGCUCAACCCUGGAAAGCCGGUGGAUACUGUCGAGCUAGAGUCCGGAAGGGGCGAGUGGAAUUCCUGGUGUAGCGGUGAAAUGCGUAGAUAUCUGGAGGAACACCGGUGGCGAAGGCGGCAUCCUGGACCGACACUGACGCUGAGGCGCGAAAGCUAGGGGAGCAAACGGG
rnacentral:rRNA from 1 species